rnacentral:rRNA from 3 species
UGAAGGAACGUUGAAGACGACGACGUUGAUAGGUCGGGUGUGUAAGCGCAGCGAUGCGUUGAGCUAACCGAUACUAAUGAACCGUGAGGCUUAACCUU